rnacentral:misc_RNA from 1 species
UACGGAGGGUGCAAGCGUUGUUCGGAAUUACUGGGCGUAAAGCGUGCGUAGGCGGUUCGAUAAGUCGGAUGUGAAAUCCCAGGGCUCAACCCUGGAACUGCACCCGAUACUGUCGAACUUGAGUAUGGGAGAGGGAAGCGGAAUUCCUGGUGUAGCGGUGAAAUGCGUAGAUAUCAGGAGGAACACCCGUGGCGAAAGCGGCUUCCUGGCCCAUUACUGACGCUCAGGCACGAAAGCGUGGGGAGCAAACAGG